ensembl:lncRNA
CCUUCCCUGAGGAUCUAUGAGGAAAGGCACAUGGAGGACCUAUAAAAAGGACCCCAUGCUCUUCUGCCCAAUCUCCCCCAGCAGAAGGCAUGACCCACGAUCUAUAUGGGCUCAUUUGGACCCUAUUCUUCAGUUCCUGGCAAAAGACCACACUAAUGUCCAAAGCCUUCACUUUUUUAGUGAUAGACCUGCCACCCAAUGCAAGAACCGUGCAAACUUUUAUAUGACAGCCACUGAACCACACCAAAGAGGUUUCUCAACAGUGAUGUGGAACUUCUUUGAGGCAAGUCAUGGAAAGGGUGCACCAAAUGGAGUGGGGGCUGCACUGAAAAGAACGGCAUUAGUUAGGCAAGGUAGAGAUAUGCCAAAUGCAGGGACCUUUUUCCAACUGCUAAAAGAUACAGGCAAGGUUAAACUCUUCUAUGUAAGUGAGGAGGAAGUUGAGAAGAAGGGUGAAGGUUUGAAAGAAGUGUCCCUGUUCACCAUCAAGGGCACAAUGAGGAUGCAUGAAGUCCUCAGUGAUUCGCAUGGCAUUCUAAAACACAGGAACAUCAGCUGUUUCUGCCAUUCUGCUGAGGGAAUCUUUGGCUGUUUAUUCUAUGGUCUAGAAGAGGUUAGCUAUGGAUGCAAUUGAUGAAACGGAUGAAGAGUUUAGACCCAAUGUCAUCGAGCACCAUCGCAGUGGGCAAUGGUGUGUUGUUUGCGAUGAUGAUGAACCCUACCCUAGGAUAAUAUUGAAGGUGGAGGAAAAUAAUGUGGAAGUCAAGUGCAUGCACUGAAAUGGAGUGCCCAGAGAUGAUAUUAACUGGUAUCAUGAUGACCAGAUCAUGUGCCUGAUGAGCCCCUAGCACUGAAUAGGCAUUCAGCUGAAAUUGAUCAGAGGUCCUGGGAGCUCAUUCUGAGACAGCUAGACAAGUGAAAUAAGGCAACAUAAAUUGUAAAAUAGGGACAGUUUACCCCUCUUAAUUAUAACCUAGUAACAUAGCAUGACAUAAAAAAUAGUAGCAGACAAUUGUAGUUUAGAUAAUGGUCUUUGUUGGGCCUUUUUUAGUUGUUACUCUUAAUUAAGUUCAAAUGUGCUUAAACUGUUGUUUAUGAACGUUCAAGUGUUUUGAGCGAUUGUCAAUGAGUUUGACUGCAUGCCAAAUGAAACCAUUUUCUUAAUUAGAAUUGAAGAAUAAGAAUCUUUGGUCUUGUAUGUCACUGGCAUUUCAUUGUGUCACUGGUGUUACUGUGUGUUUUUUCUGUAUCAUUAAAUAAAAUGUGUCAUGUUUGACAGGAUGAUGAUUUUAUAUUCAUGAUAUUUUGCUACACUGAAGAGUUCAGAUUCCAAGGAUUGCAUAAUUACUUAUUUAUAACAGUUAUUUUUAAAAUAUUUAUAUUUUUAUAGGAAAUUCAUGGUUGUGCA